UUAAGCGACUAAGCGUACACGGUGGAUGCCCUGGCAGUCAGAGGCGAUGAAGGACGUGCUAAUCUGCGAAAAGCGACGGCGAGGUGAUAUGAACCCUUGACCCGUCGAUGUCCGAAUGGGGAAACCCAGUGCAAUCCGUUGCACUAUCGUUAACUGAAUACAUAGGUUAACGAGGCGAACCGGGGGAACUGAAACAUCUAAGUACCCCGAGGAAAAGAAAUCAACCGAGAUUCCCCCAGUAGCGGCGAGCGAACGGGGAGCAGCCCGGAGUCUGAAUCAGCUUGUGUGUUAGUGGAACGGUCUGGAAAGUCCGACGGUACAGGGUGAUAGUCCCGUACACGAAAGCACACUUGCUGUGAACUCGAAGAGUAGGGCGGGACACGUGGUAUCCUGUCUGAAUAUGGGGGGACCAUCCUCCAAGGCUAAAUACUCCUGACUGACCGAUAGUGAACCAGUACCGUGAGGGAAAGGCGAAAAGAACCCCGGCGAGGGGAGUGAAAAAGAACCUGAAACCGUGUACGUACAAGCAGUGGGAGCCUCUUUUAUGGGGUGACUGCGUACCUUUUGUAUAAUGGGUCAGCGACUUAUAUUCUGUAGCAAGGUUAACCGUAUAGGGGAGCCGAAGGGAAACCGAGUCUUAACUGGGCGUUAAGUUGCAGGGUAUAGACCCGAAACCCGGUGAUCUAGCCAUGGGCAGGUUGAAGGUUGGGUAACACUAACUGGAGGACCGAACCGACUAAUGUUGAAAAAUUAGCGGAUGACCUGUGGCUGGGGGUGAAAGGCCAAUCAAACCGGGAGAUAGCUGGUUCUCCCCGAAAGCUAUUUAGGUAGCGCCUCGUGAACUCAUCUUCGGGGGUAGAGCACUGUUUCGGCUAGGGGGCCAUCCCGGCUUACCAACCCCGAUGCAAACUACGAAUACCGAAGAAUGUUAUCACGGGAGACACCACGGCGGGUGCUAACGUCCGUCGUGAAGAGGGAAACAACCCAGACCGCCAGCUAAGGUCCCAAAGUCAUGGUUAAGUGGGAAACGAUGUGGGAAGGCACAGACAGCCAGGAUGUUGGCUUAGAAGCAGCCAUCAUUUAAAGAAAGCGUAAUAGCUCACUGGUCGAGUCGGCCUGCGCGGAAGAUGUAACGGGGCUAAACCAUGCACCGAAGCUGCGGCAGCGACGCUUAUGCGUUGUUGGGUAGGGGAGCGUUCUGUAAGCCGUUGAAGAUGUGCUGUGAGGCAUGCUGGAGGUAUCAGAAGUGCGAAUGCUGACAUAAGUAACGAUAAAGCGGGUGAAAAGCCCGCUCGCCGGAAGACCAAGGGUUCCUGUCCAACGUUAAUCGGGGCAGGGUGAGUCGACCCCUAAGGCGAGGCCGAAAGGCGUAGUCGAUGGGAAACAGGUUAAUAUUCCUGUACUUGGUGUUACUGCGAAGGGGGGGACGGAGAAGGCUAUGUUAGCCGGGCGACGGUUGUCCCGGUUUAAGCAUGUAGGCGGAGGUUCCAGGUAAAUCCGGUACCUUUUUAACGCUGAGGUGUGAUGACGAGGCACUACGGUGCUGAAGUAACAAAUGCCCUGCUUCCAGGAAAAGCCUCUAAGCAUCAGGUAACACGAAAUCGUACCCCAAACCGACACAGGUGGUCAGGUAGAGAAUACCAAGGCGCUUGAGAGAACUCGGGUGAAGGAACUAGGCAAAAUGGUGCCGUAACUUCGGGAGAAGGCACGCUGAUAUGUAGGUGAAGCCCCUGCGGGUGGAGCUGAAAUCAGUCGAAGAUACCAGCUGGCUGCAACUGUUUAUUAAAAACACAGCACUGUGCAAACACGAAAGUGGACGUAUACGGUGUGACGCCUGCCCGGUGCCGGAAGGUUAAUUGAUGGGGUUAGCGGCAACGCGAAGCUCUUGAUCGAAGCCCCGGUAAACGGCGGCCGUAACUAUAACGGUCCUAAGGUAGCGAAAUUCCUUGUCGGGUAAGUUCCGACCUGCACGAAUGGCGUAAUGAUGGCCAGGCUGUCUCCACCCGAGACUCAGUGAAAUUGAACUCGCUGUGAAGAUGCAGUGUACCCGCGGCAAGACGGAAAGACCCCGUGAACCUUUACUAUAGCUUGACACUGAACACUGGUCCUUGAUGUGUAGGAUAGGUGGGAGGCUUUGAAGCGUGGACGCCAGUCUGCGUGGAGCCAUCCUUGAAAUACCACCCUUUAAUGGCUGGUGUUCUAACGUUGACCCGUGAUCCGGGUUGCGGACAGUGUCUGGUGGGUAGUUUGACUGGGGCGGUCUCCUCCCAAAGAGUAACGGAGGAGCACGAAGGUUAGCUAAUCCUGGUCGGACAUCAGGAGGUUAGUGCAAUGGCAUAAGCUAGCUUGACUGCGAGAGUGACGGCUCGAGCAGGUGCGAAAGCAGGUCAUAGUGAUCCGGUGGUUCUGAAUGGAAGGGCCAUCGCUCAACGGAUAAAAGGUACUCCGGGGAUAACAGGCUGAUACCGCCCAAGAGUUCAUAUCGACGGCGGUGUUUGGCACCUCGAUGUCGGCUCAUCACAUCCUGGGGCUGAAGUAGGUCCCAAGGGUAUGGCUGUUCGCCAUUUAAAGUGGUACGCGAGCUGGGUUUAGAACGUCGUGAGACAGUUCGGUCCCUAUCUGCCGUGGGCGCUGGAGAAUUGAGGGGGGCUGCUCCUAGUACGAGAGGACCGGAGUGGACGCAUCACUGGUGUUCGGGUUGUCAUGCCAAUGGCACUGCCCGGUAGCUAAAUGCGGAAGAGAUAAGUGCUGAAAGCAUCUAAGCACGAAACUUGCCCCGAGAUGAGUUCUCCCUGAGACUUUAAGUCUCCUGAAGGAACGUUGAAGACGACGACGUUGAUAGGUCGGGUGUGUAAGCGCAGCGAUGCGUUGAGCUAACCGAUACUAAUGAACCGUGAGGCUUAACCUU
rnacentral:rRNA from 1 species